GAGUUUGAUCUUGGCUCAGAUUGAACGCUGGCGGCAUGCCUUACACAUGCAAGUCGAACGGCAGCACGGGAGCUUGCUCCUGGUGGCGAGUGGCGAACGGGUGAGUAAUGCAUCGGAACGUAUCCUGGAGUGGGGAUAACGUAGCGAAAGUUACGCUAAUACCGCAUAUUCUGUGAGCAGGAAAGCGGGGGACCUUCGGGCCUCGCGCUCUUGGAGCGGCCGAUGUCGGAUUAGCUAGUUGUGA
rnacentral:rRNA from 1 species